UGAAUACGAGACGCUAAGGCGUCGAAGUAGUGUAUGUCAUACUUCCAAGAAAAGGUUGCACUGUCAUAAGUAAAAAAUGCCUGUACCAUAACCGACACAGGUGGGUAGGUAGAGUAUACUAAGGGGCGCGAGAUAACUCUCUCUAAGGAACUCGGCAAAAUAACUCCGUAACUUCGGGAGAAGGAGUACCUUAUUCUAUAAGGUUGCAAUAACAAGAUCCAAGCAACUGUUUAUCAAAAACACAGGUCUCCGCUAAGUCGUAAGACGAUGUAUGGGGGCUGACGCCUGCCCAGUGCCAGAAGGUUAAAGAAGUCGGUUAGCAUUAGCGAAGCUGGUAACUGAAGCCCUGGUGAACGGCGGCCGUAACUACAACGGUCCUAAGGUAGCGAAAUUCCUUGUCGGGUAAAUUCCGACCCGCACGAAAGGCGUAAUGAUUUGGAUACUGUCUCGGAGAGGGGCUCGGUGAAAUAGACUUGUCUGUGAAGAUGCGGACUACCUGCACCAGGACAGAAAGACCCUAUGAAGCUUUACUGUAACUUGAAAUUGAAAUUGGACUUUAUUCGCGCAGUAUAGGUGGGAGGUGUUGAUUAUAAUCUUGCGGGAUUAUUGGAGCCAUCAGUGAGAUACCACUCUUGUAAUGUUAGAUUUCUAACUUUGAAUCAUUAUCUGGUCAAAGGACAGUUUCAGGCGGGCAGUUUGACUGGGGCGGUCGCCUCCCAAACGGUAACGGAGGCGUACAAAGGUUUCCUCUGAACGGGUAGAAAUCGUAUCUAGAGUGUAAAGGCAUAAGGAAGCUUGACUGUGAGACCUACAAGUCGAACAGGGACGAAAGUCGGUCUUAGUGAUCUGACGGUACUGAGUGGAAAGGCCGUCACUCAACGGAUAAAAGUUACUCUAGGAUAACAGGCUGAUCUCCCCCAAGAGUUCACAUCGACGGGGAGGUUUGGCACCUCGAUGUCGGCUCAUCGCAUCCUGGGGCGGUAGUACGUCCCAAGGGUUGGGCUGUUCGCCCAUGAAAGCGGUACGCGAGCUGGGUUCAGAACGUCGUGAGACAGUUCGGUCCAUAUCCGGUGUAGGCGUUAGAAUAUUGAGAGGAGCCUUCUUUAGUACGAGAGGACCGAGAAGGACAUACCUCUGGUGUACCAGUUAUCGUGCCAACGGUAAACGCUGGGUAGCUAUGUAUGGAGUGGAUAACCGCUGAAAGCAUCUAAGUGGGAAGCCCACCUCAAGAUAAG
rnacentral:rRNA from 1 species